rnacentral:tRNA from 1 species
AGCAGUGUGCUUAGUGGAUAGAGCACGUGCCUGGGAGUCAAAAGGACCUGGGUUCUAAUCCCAGCUCUGCCA